rnacentral:tRNA from 1 species
CAGUGGUUAAGUCACCGGGCUCGUGCCGUAAUGGCGCCGGUUCGAUUCCCGCUGCCUGC